GGCAAGGUGGCGGAGUGGUUAACGCGCCAGCCUCGAAGCCUCGAUAGCUGGUUCCUUCGGGAGCGUGGUAUGUUCUAGAGGGCCUUUUUGCUCCCCGUUCUGACGGCUAACAUAUACAAAACUAGUGUUCAAAUCACACCCUUGUCG
rnacentral:tRNA from 1 species